CCGUUGGAGACCACAACGUUGAUAGGCGGGGUGUGUAAGUGCAGCGAUGCAUUGAGCUAACCCGUACUAAUUACCCGUGAGGCUUAACCAU
rnacentral:rRNA from 1 species